ensembl:lncRNA
GUUUUGAAUGAGGCUCGGAAUAUGUUCACUGGCAUAGUACUGCCUGAUAUCCAAAAGAAAUGGGCUAACUGAGAAGAGAGAAGAGUAAAGAGAAGGGAGUUUCUGGUGAGAAAGCACAAGUGUAUGAGAUGUGUCUUAUCCAGAGGCACCGAAUAAUCUGGAAAGAAACUAUGCGUGUACCUGGACCCAUAUACUCUAAAUAGCCAGGAUUCCUUUAUCUCACCAGCUCUUCUGCUGUAGGUUAAUAAUUGUAUCAGCAACAGAAACCAUUCUCAGACAUUUUUGUAAUAAGGCAGAAGAUAUUUCCAGGUUAGCUCCCAGUUCUGUCUCAUAUAGGGUAAACAUAUCUAGCCCAUCAACCUCUGGUUCUUCAGCUCUGUGUGCCAGACCUUUUCCUCCCAGAGCAAAGAGAAAGAGCAGAGUGGAAAGAAGAAAUGUGUGCCACUUUAAAAACUGGCCAUCAGCAAUUGAUUUAUGACAUGGUAGAGACAACAAGGCCUCAGCUGUAUGUCUUUGCUGCUUAAGUAAACACUUCUGUUUUCUGAGUCUCUAGUGUGAAAGAAAGGUAAAGGCAUUCCUCAUUUGCUGAAAGCCCAGAUAAAUGGCAUGAUCUCUCUGCUACUGUUGCAGGGAAAGGGGUUGGCAAAGCCUGGGAAAAAGAGUUUAGCUUUUUCUUGCCAAGAACAGCUCAUUCAAGACGCAAGGUGACACAGCAAUCAGUGUGAUGGAUUGUGACAAGUCUGGCAGACUAAAAAUUCUCAGAAGAGAUGCUGUGACAGCUUCAGAACUUCAAAGUAUCAAUAAGAUACAUUCCUCAUUAUGCCUUUUGAAAGGAUGGCUGUAUUCAAAGAUAAAGGAGAAGAAAGGCAAAGUCUGAUUUCUGGACUUAAAAGAACUCUCAUAAAAGGCAGACAUUUAGAUCAGACCAAAAUGGCCUGAAACCAUCUUUAUUAUUCUGGCAUUCAAGUGAUCAGCUUGCCUGCUUGAAGUUCUACACAUCUUAUAGAUGAAACAUAUUCUUUGGGUGUGCUCAGCAGCUGCAUGACUCCUCAUCCAUUAAAGUAUUUUGCAGCCAGUGGGUUGAAUCCAUACACCGGACAGAACUGGGCAUAAGAUUACUCUGUACUGGUCAUUACUUUAAAGCCGGUAUAAAGGACCAUUGCCAGCUAUAAUCCUUGUAUAGCCCACAUUAUGCAACAAUAAGCCAGCAUGCAUCUCAGAAGGUGUUUAGAUAGAAAUUAGUCUCCACAGAGAAUUGCCAGACUGGUAUUUGGGUGAGCAACCAAUAAAUGACUGAUAACACCUAUCUCUUUCCCAAGCAUUUUCACCCAGUUUGCAUUGGAUUUCACUUUCACUGUGGUCCCAUGUGGAAUGGACCACUCAGAUAAUGUGUAGAAUAGGAACUCAGAUCAAUCUGGGCUCACUAAGCUGAACAGAGGAGGGAAUACAUGUACAGUGGUUUGAAGUAGCUAUAUAGAAAAAGAAGCUCCUAAUAACUUCUAGGAAUACAACUAUACGCAGAAAGCAAUAGACAUCAAAUAAUGGAAUUUGGGUCAAAUUAGAGAAAAAAGCAGAACUAGUAGUUAAGGAGAAGAAAUCCCUUGGCAAUUUUCUGCCUCAAAGGUGAAUACCAGGAAAGGUCUGAAGAACUUCGGGAAUGGUGGGCUGUUCUGUACCCACUACCCUGCUUGCAGCCAAUGUUGACACUUUUUUGAAGUUAUAAGCAGAGCCUGGGAGAACAG